GACGAACGCUGGCGGCGUGCUUAACACAUGCAAGUCGAGCGGUAAGGCCUUUCGGGGUACACGAGCGGCGAACGGGUGAGUAACACGUGGGUGAUCUGCCCUGCACUUCGGGAUAAGCCUGGGAAACUGGGUCUAAUACCGGAUAUGACCUCCUAUCGCAUGGUGGGUGGUGGAAAUAUUUAUCGGUGCAGGAUGGGCCCGCGGCCUAUCAGCUUGUUGGUGGGGUAAUGGCCUACCAAGGCGACGACGGGUAGCCGACCUGAGAGGGUGACCGGCCACACAGGGACUGAGACACGGCACAGACUCCUACGGGAGGCAGAAGUGGGGAAUAUUGCACAAUGGGCGAAAGCCUGAUGCAGCGACGCCGCGUGAGGGAUGACGGCCUUCGGGUUGUAAAACUCUUUCAGCAGGGACGAAGCGCAAGUGAAGGUACCUGCAGAAGAAGCACCGGCUAACUACGUGC
rnacentral:rRNA from 1 species